rnacentral:rRNA from 1 species
AGUCACUGACAUUAGAUACCCGCGUAGUCCAGGGUGUAAACGCUGCAGACUUGGUGUUGGGGGCCCUUUGGGGGCAUUCAGUGCCGGAGAGAAGUUGUUAAGUCUGCUACUUGGGGAGUACGUCCGCAAGGAUGAAACUUAAAGGAAUUGGCGGGGGAGCACCGCAACGGGAGGAGCGUGCGGUUUAAUUGGAUUCAACACCGUAAACUCACCAGGGAAGACUGUUACAUGAAGGCCGAGAUGAAGACUCUGCUAGAUUUUCAG